ACUGUGUGCUCAAUUCCCAGAAGUAAGGAGGGCACUGCGCAUGCGGGAAGCCCACCCUAAGGGAGGAAUUAUGGGAAAGAGGCAAGCCUGUAAAGCCCGAGGAUCAAGGUUAAACGCUCUCUUUUUGACCUUCAGGCACCCUCUUGGGUCUUUUACAAGUGAACUUUCUUUCCUGUUUUAAAGCCUUUUAAAUAAACUUCCACUCCUGUGCUGAAACUUGCCUUAGUCUUUUUUUCUGCUUUAUGCCCCUCAGUCGAAUUCUUUCAUCUGAGGAGGCAAGAAUUGAAGUUGCUGCAGACGCCUGUGGAUUCACCACAAGUACAUUGGAGUAACCACUGGGAACAACAGGUUGCCUUAGAAGCUUUGCAGGUUGUUUUGUUUUUUUGUUUGUUUGUUUUUUUGAGACGGGGUCUCACUUUGUCGCCCAGGUUUGUUGCCCAGGCUGGAGUGCAGUGGCGCAAUCUCGGCUCUCCGCAACCUCUGCCUCCCGGGCUCAAGUGAUCCUCCCACCUCGGCUUCCCGAGUACCUGGGACUACAGGCAUGCACCACCACACCCGGCUAAUUUUAAUUUUUAUUUUGUAUUUUUAGUAGAGUUGGGGUUUCACCAUGUUCCCAGCUGGUCUUGAACUCUUGAGGUGAAGCAAUCCGCCCACCUCAGCCUCCCAAAGUGCUGAGAUUACAGACGUGAGCCAUCGCGCCUAGCCUUGCAAGUUGUUUUUUGUUGAACAGAAGAAGCUAUUCAAAAAUGUCCAGGACUCUGUUAUUUAUUCAGCAAGCUUACAAAGCCAUCUUUGAUUGACUGAUUCUUUGACAAUGACUAUCUGGAUGACACAGGAAGGAUGCAAUUCUGGCCUUGGAGAGAAAACUUGCAAGGAAAGGAACAUGUUUGAAUUUCAGAUGUGUUCCUCAAUGAAUCACGAUCUUCAGGGAAUGUUUCAGGUGGAGGAAGGGGCUCUUGGUCAAUGAGCCUGAAGACUGCAUGGCAACCUUUGCCAGCUUUUGGCCUGAAAACUCAACUUCUUCAUUUGAGAUAAUUCCUGUUUUAUAUACUUUCAUUUGAGAUAUUCCUGGUGUAUCAACUGAAACAAAAUCUAUGAAAUAUCAGAUUCACAAAAAUACAUUUUGAAUAUUGAACGUGGAUAGAUGUAUUUAAAUCUUUCCUAUUUUUUGCACUUUCAUAAUAUAUAUCAUUCUUUAUUUUUCUACUAAUAAUGAUGAAUCUACAGUAUCUCAGGGCCUUAUUUUCAAUAUCUUAACUGGAUUUUUAAUAAAAGUCUUACUGAAUAGGUAACACUUGUUUCCAAAAACUAUGCUCACCUGUCAAUGAUUCAGAAUUCGUCUCUGUCAUCCCUCUGCUACUUAGCAUUCAGUGCCCUCUACUGCCCUCCCCGACUCCACCAAAAUUCUCUCAGGCCCCAACAGUGGCAUGGAUUCUGCUCUCGAUGCUUUCUUCCACUUUCCUGUCAAAAUGCAUUUAAAUCCCAUUCGCCAUGAGUAUUUUUAUGAGCUGCUUCUCACUAGAGUGAUUACGACUGUCCUUAAAUGUGGCUUAAUGUUUGCCCUCUGAAAGAAUUUGAAUUUUAACAGAGAACUUCUGAAUACGCAAAACCUUCACCCCAAAUAAUCAAUCUUUAAGGGAUUUCGGGCGCCAACUAGAAAAGUAAUAAGGGCACAGACUGAUCUGUUUGUAUCUGCUAAUAGAAACACGGAUUUUUGUCUAUUAAAAAGUGAUAGAAAUGUCUAUGAUUAAUGUUUUCUUUCCUAUGCCACAUCAUGCGGUGCUUGCACA
rnacentral:lncRNA from 1 species